rnacentral:rRNA from 1 species
UACAGAGGUCCCAAGCGUUGUUCGGAUUUACUGGGCGUAAAGGGUGCGUAGGUGGUUGGGUAAGUCUGAUGUGAAAUCUCCGGGCUCAACCCGGAAAUGGCAUUGGAUACUACUUGACUAGAGGGUUGGAGGGGGGACUGGAAUACUUGGUGUAGCAGUGAAAUGCGUAGAUAUCAAGUGGAACACCAGUGGCGAAGGCGAGUCCCUGGACAACUCCUGACACUGAGGCACGAAAGCUAGGGGAGCAAACAGG